GGGCCCAUAGCUCAGGUGGUUAGAGCGGCUGACUCAUAAGCAGCUGGUCCUAGGUUCAAGUCCUAGUGGGCCCACCA
rnacentral:tRNA from 1 species